GCACAUGUAUAAACCCCACAGGCGUAAACAACUCGAACAAGUUGCUAAGGGAUUACGGGUUCGGCAUUGGCGCAAGCCUUCGUCGGGCCCCUCCAUCCCGGGGUGUCCCGCAUCGGGCUGUGUACGCUUCCUUGCGGAGCGAGCGCUUUCCAAGUGGGCAUCCCACGAGUGCUUGGGAUGCUGCCCAACCCAUGGUGAACUAUGCCUGAUCAGGCUUAACUCCGGGGAAACCCUGAAGAAAGGUCCAAACUGUUCCCACGAGGCAAUCACUUGUCAAAACCGAUUGGCUUGCCCAAAAAAUAAACUUCUUGGUCCGUGUUUGAAGACGGGUC
rnacentral:rRNA from 1 species